CUGUUUUUCAGUUUCACGCGGAUGGAGUGCUAGGCCGAUUCAUCAAAUCUCUCAAUCAGGUUGCAUGAGCUAACAAAUGUCUUCGACACGGACUUCAUUGUGCAUGCCUCCGCAUCUUCUCCAGCCAUACUGUCAAGCACACUGCGUUUGCCAUGCGUUCAAUCCGUCUUCGUUCUGUAACAAGAUGAAGCUCUCAUUUUGUCCAAUCAUGUCUGAAUAUUCUGAACUCAACAUGCUUUAGUCAAUCCAAGAACCAUUAAGUUUCUAGCCCCCAUCCCCCGCAUUUUCCCCAUGAUGUACUGAUGUCUUGUUUGCCUGCUCUCCAGCAUUCUUCAUCACACUCCUUUGUUUGUAACAGCUUUAUUCAGACUGGCAAACUAAGAAACCGCGUUCAGUUUGCACUUUUUUUUUUUGAGGCAGCGUUCAGUUUGUACUAUGUUCUGAAGUUUCAUCUUGUAUUUGUCAUUUUGGUUUGAUCAAAUAAAUAGGGAGAUCAGCAGUGUCAUUUUUA